GGGUUGUGAGGUUAAGCGACUAAGCGUACACGGUGGAUGCCCUGGCAGUCAGAGGCGAUGAAGGACGUGCUAAUCUGCGAUAAGCGUCGGUAAGGUGAUAUGAACCGUUAUAACCGGCGAUUUCCGAAUGGGGAAACCCAGUGUGUUUCGACACACUAUCAUUAACUGAAUCCAUAGGUUAAUGAGGCGAACCGGGGGAACUGAAACAUCUAAGUACCCCGAGGAAAAGAAAUCAACCGAGAUUCCCCCAGUAGCGGCGAGCGAACGGGGAGCAGCCCAGAGCCUGAAUCAGUGUGUGUGUUAGUGGAAGCGUCUGGAAAGGCGCGCGAUACAGGGUGACAGCCCCGUACACAAAAAUGCACAUACUGUGAGCUCGAUGAGUAGGGCGGGACACGUGGUAUCCUGUCUGAAUAUGGGGGGACCAUCCUCCAAGGCUAAAUACUCCUGACUGACCGAUAGUGAACCAGUACCGUGAGGGAAAGGCGAAAAGAACCCCGGCGAGGGGAGUGAAAAAGAACCUGAAACCGUGUACGUACAAGCAGUGGGAGCACGCUUCGGCGUGUGACUGCGUACCUUUUGUAUAAUGGGUCAGCGACUUAUAUUCUGUAGCAAGGUUAACCGAAUAGGGGAGCCGAAGGGAAACCGAGUCUUAACUGGGCGUUAAGUUGCAGGGUAUAGACCCGAAACCCGGUGAUCUAGCCAUGGGCAGGUUGAAGGUUGGGUAACACUAACUGGAGGACCGAACCGACUAAUGUUGAAAAAUUAGCGGAUGACUUGUGGCUGGGGGUGAAAGGCCAAUCAAACCGGGAGAUAGCUGGUUCUCCCCGAAAGCUAUUUAGGUAGCGCCUCGUGAAUUCAUCUCCGGGGGUAGAGCACUGUUUCGGCAAGGGGGUCAUCCCGACUUACCAACCCGAUGCAAACUGCGAAUACCGGAGAAUGUUAUCACGGGAGACACACGGCGGGUGCUAACGUCCGUCGUGAAGAGGGAAACAACCCAGACCGCCAGCUAAGGUCCCAAAGUCAUGGUUAAGUGGGAAACGAUGUGGGAAGGCCCAGACAGCCAGGAUGUUGGCUUAGAAGCAGCCAUCAUUUAAAGAAAGCGUAAUAGCUCACUGGUCGAGUCGGCCUGCGCGGAAGAUGUAACGGGGCUAAACCAUGCACCGAAGCUGCGGCAGCGACACUAUGUGUUGUUGGGUAGGGGAGCGUUCUGUAAGCCUGUGAAGGUGUGCUGUGAGGCAUGCUGGAGGUAUCAGAAGUGCGAAUGCUGACAUAAGUAACGAUAAAGCGGGUGAAAAGCCCGCUCGCCGGAAGACCAAGGGUUCCUGUCCAACGUUAAUCGGGGCAGGGUGAGUCGACCCCUAAGGCGAGGCCGAAAGGCGUAGUCGAUGGGAAACAGGUUAAUAUUCCUGUACUUGGUGUUACUGCGAAGGGGGGACGGAGAAGGCUAUGUUGGCCGGGCGACGGUUGUCCCGGUUUAAGCGUGUAGGCUGGUUUUCCAGGCAAAUCCGGAAAAUCAAGGCUGAGGCGUGAUGACGAGGCACUACGGUGCUGAAGCAACAAAUGCCCUGCUUCCAGGAAAAGCCUCUAAGCAUCAGGUAACAUUAAAUCGUACCCCAAACCGACACAGGUGGUCAGGUAGAGAAUACCAAGGCGCUUGAGAGAACUCGGGUGAAGGAACUAGGCAAAAUGGUGCCGUAACUUCGGGAGAAGGCACGCUGAUAUGUAGGUGAAGUCCCUCGCGGAUGGAGCUGAAAUCAGUCGAAGAUACCAGCUGGCUGCAACUGUUUAUUAAAAACACAGCACUGUGCAAACACGAAAGUGGACGUAUACGGUGUGACGCCUGCCCGGUGCCGGAAGGUUAAUUGAUGGGGUUAGCGGUAACGCGAAGCUCUUGAUCGAAGCCCCGGUAAACGGCGGCCGUAACUAUAACGGUCCUAAGGUAGCGAAAUUCCUUGUCGGGUAAGUUCCGACCUGCACGAAUGGCGUAAUGAUGGCCAGGCUGUCUCCACCCGAGACUCAGUGAAAUUGAACUCGCUGUGAAGAUGCAGUGUACCCGCGGCAAGACGGAAAGACCCCGUGAACCUUUACUAUAGCUUGACACUGAACAUUGAGCCUUGAUGUGUAGGAUAGGUGGGAGGCUUUGAAGUGUGGACGCCAGUCUGCAUGGAGCCGACCUUGAAAUACCACCCUUUAAUGUUUGAUGUUCUAACGUUGACCCGUAAUCCGGGUUGCGGACAGUGUCUGGUGGGUAGUUUGACUGGGGCGGUCUCCUCCUAAAGAGUAACGGAGGAGCACGAAGGUUGGCUAAUCCUGGUCGGACAUCAGGAGGUUAGUGCAAUGGCAUAAGCCAGCUUGACUGCGAGCGUGACGGCGCGAGCAGGUGCGAAAGCAGGUCAUAGUGAUCCGGUGGUUCUGAAUGGAAGGGCCAUCGCUCAACGGAUAAAAGGUACUCCGGGGAUAACAGGCUGAUACCGCCCAAGAGUUCAUAUCGACGGCGGUGUUUGGCACCUCGAUGUCGGCUCAUCACAUCCUGGGGCUGAAGUAGGUCCCAAGGGUAUGGCUGUUCGCCAUUUAAAGUGGUACGCGAGCUGGGUUUAGAACGUCGUGAGACAGUUCGGUCCCUAUCUGCCGUGGGCGCUGGAGAACUGAGGGGGGCUGCUCCUAGUACGAGAGGACCGGAGUGGACGCAUCACUGGUGUUCGGGUUGUCAUGCCAAUGGCACUGCCCGGUAGCUAAAUGCGGAAGAGAUAAGUGCUGAAAGCAUCUAAGCACGAAACUUGCCCCGAGAUGAGUUCUCCCUGACUCCUUGAGAGUCCUGAAGGAACGUUGAAGACGACGACGUUGAUAGGCCGGGUGUGUAAGCGCAGCGAUGCGUUGAGCUAACCGGUACUAAUGAACCGUGAGGCUUAACCUUACAACGCCGAAG
rnacentral:rRNA from 2 species